CCCAGACUACAUUUUUUUUUAUUUGGUCAUGACUAUAUAUACAAGUGUGUACCAUAUUUGUUAUAUCCUGUUGAUUAUCCCUAACCAAAAGGGGGUAAUUUCCCUUUUCUUAUUUAUUUUAAGUAAUGACUACAAAUAUAAACUCAUGGCUUGCGAGGCAAAUCACGUCUACUGGGUUAUGGGUAAUCCUUCUGGUAGGGAUUAUCUCAUGCAGCCGACUCAAUUGAAGAAUGGCCAAAUUCGCAGAGCUCAGUACAGUGGUGCUCAAUCCGUAACUGAGAACCAAGCGCUUGACAGUUGAUAAAAUAAAACUGAAGUGUGAAUUUUCCAAUUACUAUGCCUUGAUCAAUUGGACAUGGGUAUGUCCAUAGUGAUGUCAUCCUCGGAAUCAAAAAAGCAUUGAAUUUCUAUGUACUUGAACCUCUGGACCCGACCCCUUACACCAAUUCCCCACCAAGCUCCAUACAUGGUUGAACGUCUGCCAAUUACUUCAAUAACAGAACUUCAUAAUGAAAACAUCUGCUUCUUCCUUAAAUGCUCAAAAACCAAACAAGAAAUUCAUUUGUAGAGUAUAGAUUCGUUCUCCCACCAUAAAUCUAAGAGAAAAUGUCAAAUAUCUGAACCACAACGUCAAUGCAAAAUUAGUCCAAGAAAACAAAGACAGAAUCAAAAUGACAUCCAAAAUUCAUCAUGACAAAUUCCUUCCUGAUUAUAACUCUCCGCUACUACCUAGAAGCUCAAGACAUCCUCUGUGCAGCCUCCUUCGCUAAGAGUUUCUCCUUAGCUUUGGUCUUUGCCUGAGAUUUGGAUCCCAUGAUGCCACCACCCCAUCUCUUGCGGUGCUCGUCAAACUUGUCAUUGAAGUUUGCCUUAACUGCCUCCAAGAUUUUGCUAAAUUCCAAUUUAUCUUCAUUCUUCACUGAUGUAAGGCACAAAGCUGCAGCUGUUUUCUUGUGAACAAUAGCUCCAAGGCGUGACUUGCCCUUCACGAUAGCAUAAGGGACCUCCAUUUUCCGGCACAAAGCAGGCAACCAAACAACAAGCUCAAUUGGAUCAACAUCAUGUGCAAUAACCACUAAUUGGGCCUUGUUCUGCUCAAUAAGGUAAGUAACAUGGUUAAGACCAUACUUAACAACAAUGGGUUUCUUUGAUUCCACAGUUUUCCCCUCAGCUUCAGCCUGUGCCCUUUUAAGAAGCCUUUCCUUCUUAGCUGCCUUGUCCUCAGGUCUAUAUUUGAGAAAUAAUUUGAAGAGUUGUGUGGCAAGGUUCUUGUCAAGUGUUUUUGUAAACUGGUUAACAGCAGGAGGAACCUUCAAACGUUGCUUCAGGAUCCUCCUUUGUCUUUGAAUACGAACAACAUGAGGCCACUUGACAAACCUAGUCAAGUCCUUCUUUGGUGGCAGUGCACCACCAAUUCCAAACUGUUUUGGUCGCUUCUCAAACAAUGGGUUGACAACCUUCUCAGGUUUCUUCUUUGCCAAUACUGGGGCCUUAACACCUCUUUUGGGAGCCAUGCGAGUGAAGAUGCACAGAAAAACUAGCUGCCUUUGGAGGAAAGGGCGUGUGACA
rnacentral:misc_RNA from 1 species